AAGGAGACUCUCUGGUCUGUAACUGACGCUGAGGAGCGAGAGCGUGGGGAGAGAACACGAUUAGAUACCCCGGUAGUGCACGCCGUAAACGAUGAGUGCUAAGUGUUAGGGGGUUUCCGCCCUUUAGUUCUGCAGCUAACGCCUUAAGCACUUCGCCUGGGGAGUACGGUCGCAAGACUGAAACUCAAAGGAAUUGACGGGGGCCCGCACCAGCGGUGGAGCAUGUGGUUUAAUUUGAAGCAACGCGAAGAACCUUACCAGGUCUUGACAUCCUUUGACAAUCCUAGAGAUAGGACGUCCCCUUUGGGGGCAGAGUGACAGGUGGUGCAUGGUUGUUGUCAGCUCGUGUUGUGAGAUGUUGGGUUAAGUCCCGCAACGAGCGCAACCCUUGAUCUUAGUUGCCAGCAUUCAGUUGGGCACUUUAAGGUGACUGCCGGUGACAAACCGGAGGAAGGUGGGGAAGACGUCAAAUCCUCCUGCCCCUUAUGACCUGGGCUACACACGUGCUACAAAGGACAGAACAAAGGGCAGGGAAACCGCGAGGUUAAACCAAUCCCACAAAUCUGUUUUCAGUUCGGAUCGCAGUCUGCAACUCGACUGCGUGAAGCUGGAAUCGCUAGUAAUCGCGGAUCAGCAUGCCGCGGUGAAUACGUUCCCGGGCCUUGUACACACCGCCCGUCACACCCCGAGAGUUUGUAACACCCGAAGUCGGUGAGGUAACCUCUAGGAGCCAGCUGC
rnacentral:rRNA from 1 species